ensembl:misc_RNA Metazoa_SRP Metazoan signal recognition particle RNA
GCCGGGUUCAGUGGCGCAUGCCUGUAGUUCCAGCUACUCGGGAGGCUGAGGUUGGAGGAUCGCUUGAGCUCAGGAGUUCUGGGCUGUAGUGCGCUAUGUUGAUUGGGUGUCCGCACUAAGUUCGGCAUCAAUAUGGUGCCCUCCCGGGAGCAGGGGACCACCAGGUUGCCUAAGGAGGGGUGAACCAGCCCAGGUUGGAAACAGAGCAGGUCAAAACUCCCGUGCUGAUCAGUAGUGGGAUCGCACCUGUGAAUUGCCACUGCACUCCAGCCUGGGCAACAUAGCGAGACCCUGUCUCUU